UUAGCGGCGCGGCCUGACGCGGACCCGGGCGGUGGGAGUUUGCGCGGCAUAUCCUGAGGUGACCGGCGUGCACGCGUGCCGAGCGGUGCAGCAUGGCCGACGCAGGAGUAAACACUUUGCCAAAGAGGCAUAAAAAGAAGAAGGACAGGAAAUCAUUACCAGAAGAAGAUGUGGCCGAAAUACAACACGCUGGAGAAUUUCUUAUCAAGCCAGAAUCCAAAGUGGCUCAGUUGGACACGUCUCAGUGGCCUCUCUUGCUCAAGAACUUCGAUAAGCUGAACGUAAGGACAACACACUACACACCUCUUCCUUGUGGUUCCAACCCUCUGAAGAGGGAGAUUGGGGACUAUAUAAGGACAGGCUUCAUUAAUCUUGACAAGCCUUCUAACCCCUCUUCUCAUGAGGUGGUAGCCUGGAUCCGGCGCAUCCUCCGCGUGGAGAAGACAGGGCACAGUGGCACACUGGACCCCAAGGUGACUGGCUGUUUAAUCGUGUGCAUAGACCGAGCCACUCGCUUGGUAAAGUCACAGCAGAGUGCAGGCAAAGAGUAUGUGGGAAUUGUUCGGCUGCACAAUGCAAUUGAAGGGGGGAGCCAGCUUUCUAGGGCCCUGGAAACUCUGACCGGCGCCCUAUUCCAGCGACCCCCACUCAUCGCUGCGGUAAAGAGGCAACUCCGGGUGAGGACGAUCUAUGAGAACAAAAUGAUCGAAUAUGACCCUGAAAGAAGAUUGGGAAUCUUUUGGGUGAGUUGUGAGGCCGGCACCUACAUUCGGACGCUGUGCGUGCAUCUGGGUUUGUUGCUGGGAGUUGGUGGUCAGAUGCAGGAACUUCGGAGGGUUCGUUCUGGAGUCAUGAGUGAGAAGGAUCACAUGGUGACGAUGCAUGACGUGCUCGAUGCACAGUGGCUGUAUGACAACCACAAGGAUGAGAGUUACUUGCGGCGAGUCAUUUACCCUUUGGAAAAGCUUUUGACAUCUCAUAAGCGGCUGGUUAUGAAGGACAGUGCAGUCAAUGCCAUCUGCUAUGGGGCCAAGAUCAUGCUUCCAGGUGUUCUCCGGUAUGAGGACGGCAUUGAGGUCAACCAGGAGAUUGUGGUCAUCACUACCAAGGGGGAAGCAAUUUGCAUGGCUGUUGCAUUAAUGACUACAGCAGUGAUCUCUACCUGUGACCACGGUAUAGUGGCCAAGAUCAAAAGAGUGAUCAUGGAGAGGGACACUUACCCUCGGAAGUGGGGCUUAGGGCCCAAGGCAAGUCAAAAGAAGAUGAUGAUCAAGCAGGGCCUUCUGGACAAGCACGGCAAGCCCACCGACAGCACCCCUGCCUCGUGGAAGCAAGAGUACGUGGACUACAGUGAGUCUAGCAAGAAAGAAGUAGUUGCUGAAGCAGUAAAAACACCACAGGCAGUUGCUAAAGUGACCAAAGCCCCACAGGUAGUCACUGAGGUAGUAAAAAUCAAGAAGCGGAAGCGAGAGAGUGAGAGUGAAAGUGAGGAGACCCCAGCAGCAGCCCUCAAGUUGUCCAAGAAGGAAAAAAAGAAGGACAAGAAGGCCAAAGCUGCACCAGAGAUCAGGGAUGUGCCUAGAGAGGACAAUGACAUCACCAAAAAGAAGAAGAAAAAGAAGAAAGCCAAAGUGGUGGAAGUGGCAUCUGACUAGCGAGGGCUACUUUGAGCAGUUGUGUUCAGGCGACUUUUCCUAAGUGGAACCCUUGCUGAGAAAAAGUUCCUUUGGUUACUGAGGGAGUGGAACAAAGGUCCUGGACAAGGGUAGAGAAUCCCUGGCACCUUCAGCUGUUCCUCGAGACCUCCUCAGUAGCAUCACCUGGCGUGCUCAUCCCAUCUUACCCUGUUUCUAGGGUAUGGAUGAUGGAGGCAACUCCUUUUAUGCCACUGACUCAUCUGGCUUGGGAAGUUCCACCUUUGGACCCAGUGCUGCCAUUCACUAAUGAUCUUUUUUAAUGUUAUCGUCCUCUCCUAGUUUGCUUUUUUCUUACCCUAUUUAAAAAGUUUGUAUACAUUAUUCAAUAAAU